UGCGUAGGCGGCGGGGAAAGUCAGAUGUGAAAUCCGGAGGCUCAACCUCCGAAUUGCAUCCGAUACUACCUCGCUAGAGAUUUGUAGAGGAGCUUGGAAUUCUCGGUGUAGCAGUGAAAUGCGUAGAUAUCGAGAAGAACGCUCGCAGCGAAGGCGAAGCUCUGGGCAAUUUCUGACGCUGAUGCACGAAGGCGUAGGGGAGACAAAC
rnacentral:rRNA from 1 species